UUUUAUUUAUCCAGAACUAAAUUGGAUGAAAACCCUAUGAUUUCCUAUCACAUACUCAAAUCUGAUGGACAAAUGACCCAGACGAAGCCAUUACAGAUUGUUACUACCUGCAGAUAUUUUUAAGUUCCCCUUUGACACACAAACUUGUAACCUGACUUUCACUACCUUUGUCUAUCAAGGUAUGUUUGAAUGGCUUAUAGGAAUCUGUAAUCUACAGUCUUUGGUUCUAGAUAAAUGAUCAGUAACACUUGAGCUAGUAUGAUACAUUCUUUCUAAGACAUGGAGCUAGAUUAGAAAGAUGAAAACAAAAUGAACAUUUUUGAACAUUUUAAUAUAUCCAUUUUGUCUGUUUUGACAUAUUUUUGUGACUGCAUUCUUGAGUUCUUACAGUUUAAAUUAAAUAAGGAAAAAACUAAAGAAAUCAGUAAAUACUUG